rnacentral:rRNA from 1 species
GACGAACGCUGGCGGCGUGCUUAACACAUGCAAGUCGAACGAAGAGCGAUGGAAGCUUGCUUCUAUCAAUCUUAGUGGCGAACGGGUGAGUAACGCGUAAUCAACCUGCCCUUCAGAGGGGGACAACAGUUGGAAACGACUGCUAAUACCGCAUACGAUCUAAUCUCGGCAUCGAGGAAAGAUGAAAGGUGGCCUCUAUUUAUAAGCUAUCACUGAAGGAGGGGAUUGCGUCUGAUUAGCUAGUUGGAGGGGUAACGGCCCACCAAGGCGAUGAUCAGUAGCCGGUCUGAGAGGAUGAACGGCCACAUUGGGACUGAGACACGGCCCAGACUCCUACGGGAGGCAGCAGUGGGGAAUCUUCCGCAAUGGACGAAAGUCUGACGGAGCAACGCCGCGUGAGUGAUGACGGCCUUCGGGUUGUAAAGCUCUGUUAAUCGGGACGAAAGGCCUUCUUGCGAACAGUUAGAAGGAU